rnacentral:lncRNA from 1 species
UGGUUCAUAAUGAAAGGAUGUUCCAACAUGUAAUAAGGCCCCCAACUAAGAUAUUUAGAAAGGCUUGUGCCUUCAUUGUAGACUUUAAUCCCGAUGGGCAGCAAGCAUUAACUAAUACUCCAAGGUAAUGAGAUAGUUUUAAUUAGCAAAAUUUGCCUAACAACCUUGGGAAGAUGGUGUUGUGGCUAAGGUUAACUUUGAUGCUUCAGAAACAAAUGAUAAAAUAGCUGCUGGUUUUAUAAUUGUUGAAAUAUAAAUAUAAGAACCUACAAGUUUCAGGUUGCCUUGCACCUAAAUCAAACUGAAUUUUCUUCCCAUAAGUCAGAUCAUGAUCAAACCAUAACUCCUGGGUCAGAAGUAGAAUCACAAAAUGGAAUGCAUUAGAUUUCCACAAUCCAAAUGCCUAAUGAGUUUUUUUUUUUUUUGAGAGAGAGUUUUUUCAAUGCUUUUUGCUAAAGAGUGAGAGAGAUCCAUCAAAGCUAUAUUUCUUUGCCAUCUCAAGACAAUUUUCAACAUGUUGCAAUUAUUGAAAGUUAUCAAAAUAACUCCCAAAAACUACAUUCCUGGGCCGGAUCGGAUUAUGCCCAUGUGGGUGACCCAAAUCUAUAUUUAAAAACCAAAAUCUCACACUCACACAUGAUGAUCAAAAUAUUAAUCUCAUCUUAAUAAUUUCAUACAGGCAAAUAAGCCAUGUGACCCAUGAGAACAUCUG